CCAGACCCUUCUGCGCCCACCGCCGCGACCCUCCUACUCGUCAGGGCUUCGCGGCCGGCCGCAAGGACCGGCCAUGACUGCCAGACUGACGGCCGAGUAUAGGCACGACGCUUCAGCGCCAUCCAUUUUCAGGGCUAGUUGCUUCGGCAGGUGAGUUGUUACACACUCCUUAGCGGAUUCCGACUUCCAUGGCCACCGUCCUGCUGUCUUAAGCAACCAACGCCUUUCAUGGUUUCCCAUGAGCGUCGAUUCGGGCGCCUUAACUCGGCGUUUGGUUCAUCCCACAGCGCCAG